rnacentral:misc_RNA from 1 species
GAUGAAGAACGUAGCGAAAUGCGAUAAGUAAUGUGAAUUGCAGAAUUCAGUGAAUCAUCGAAUCUUUGAACGCACCUUGCGCUCCUUGGUAUUCCAAAGAGCAUGCCUGUUUGAGUAUCAUUAAAUUAUCAACUGUACCAAUUUGGUUGCAGAUUGGAUGUGGGAGAUUUUGCAGGCUUUUGAUUUCUCUUUGAGAAAACGGUCAGCUCUCCUGAAAUAUAUUAGCAGUGCCUUUGUUGGUUCAUUAGGUGUGAUAAUUUAUCUACAUCUUCACAUGGUACCUUCAUUUGUGUAAAGGUCAUAUUGCUUCUAAUUGUCUUUGGAUAUAAAAAAAAAAAAACAUAUAAUUGUAUGGAAAACUUGAUCUCAAAUCAGGCAGGACUACCCGCUGAACUUAAGCAUAUCAAUAAGCGGAGGA